rnacentral:rRNA from 1 species
UACGUAGGGUGCGAGCGUUAAUCGGAAUUACUGGGCGUAAAGCGUGCGCAGGCGGUCUGUUAAGACCGAUGUGAAAUCCCCCGGGCUUAACCUGGGAACUGCAUUGGUGACUGGCAGGCUUUGAGUGUGGCAGAGGGAGGUAGAAUUCCACGUGUAGCAGUGAAAAUGCGUAGAGAUGUGGAGGAAUCCGAUGCGGAAGGCAGCCUCCUGGGCCAACACUGACGCUCAUGCACGAAAGCGUGGGGAGCAAACAGG